rnacentral:rRNA from 1 species
UACGGAGGGUGCAAACGUUGCUCGGAAUCAUUGGGCGUAAAGCGCACGUAGGCGGCUUUGUAAGUUAGAGGUGAAAGCCCGGAGCUCAACUCCGGAACUGCCUUUAAGACUGCAUCGCUUGAACGUCGGAGAGGUAAGUGGAAUUCCGAGUGUAGAGGUGAAAUUCGUAGAUAUUCGGAAGAACACCAGUGGCGAAGGCGACUUACUGGACGACUGUUGACGCUGAGGUGCGAAAGCGUGGGGAGCAAACAGG